GUAAAUGUAUGUCAAAUCAGUGGUUUGUAAGGUUUUGUAAAAGUUUUGCCACAACACUCGAUUGUGUGUUUACAUGAUGUAACUAAGUGUCUCUCUUAUUCCGUUCAUAUACAUUUAACUAUUUGUGGGAUGCAAUGCUUCUUUCUGAAAGAUCAUUCAGACCUUUAUUAUCAACAGAGAUGAAAGACCUUAGUGAGUUCUUUAGGCUUUGGAUUGUAAUAUCUACUCCUAGUGUACGCAUACCAACUUUUAAAUGAGUAAAAUUGGAUAAACAUUACAAUGACUUGCUCCCUGUAACGAGUGUAAUGAUGGAUAUUACUAUUAGAUAAUAAGUUAAGAGGAAGGAUUGGUUGAUGAUAUUUGUUUUCUGUUUGUAGGUACCAGUAUUGUAAAAACAACAGGUUCCCUUGUAUUUGCGGCGUGUAUUUUUGCAAAGUGGAAAUAUCAACAGACGGUGCCUAUAUUAAAUGACAAUGUAUGGUUGGAUUCUUUGAAGAGUAAAUAUGAAGCCCGCUGUCAGGGUACUGAUAAAACAAACAGUUCGAAGGAAAAGGCAUCUUCUACAGACUGUAUAGCGACAAAAAAAAGACAGACAGUUCAACAUGAUGAAACAAAAAAAAUAAAUCCACCAGAAAAUGAAAUAAGAAUAAUUAUCAUCGGAUCUACCGCUCACGCUAUGUGUUCAACAGCAAGUGGUUUGCUUCAGAAGAAAAAAAACACACCGUGGUGUUUUGCAGAAGGAACUGUAUUAAAAACUAUAGAACGCAAGCUAGAUUCCUACGUCUUCAAGAUCGAUAUUAUUGACACACCGCAUGUACUUAAAAACCCUAAAAUACCACAUCAGAAUAAACUAUAUGAGAUAUACAAGGCUACAGCACUUUCGUGUCCUGGACCCCAUGCUAUUAUUGUGUGCAUUCCAGCACAAGAUAUGUUUGAUGAGAAAUAUACUGAUGCUAUUAAGCCUUACGAGUACAUAUUCGGCGAUGAAGUGUAUGAUUUUAUUAUAGUUGCUUUUACAAAUUUUGAUAAGUAUGGUAAAUGCGGUGCAAGUAAACUUGGAUUGCAUGAACAGAAAAACAAAAAACAAUUCAACCAGGAUCUUAAAAAAGUCAUACAAAAAAACAAAAGGAUGAAAAAAAUUAGAAACGUCGAGAAAAGGCAUAUUUUUCUACAGGCCAGCGAACGCAUGACACCAAAAGAAAGAUCCGAAAAAUUGAAGCAAGUUAUCGACAUCAUUCGUAAAAGGGGAAAUAUGAGAGAACCAACGGCAAGACAAUUUGUUACCUGCGAUUUAUCAGAAUAUGUAGAAACAGAAUUACAGAAGAAAAUAAAUGAACCAAAACCAAGCCAAACCAAGAAAACGAACGACACAACGUCAAAGGGUCAGAAAACAAGCACAGGUGACAAUAAAAGAGACACAGUGAAGAAGAGCAAGACAUUUCUUGACAAUGUUGUAAAGACACCGUGUUAAUUAUGUCAACAAUAUAAUUACAUCGAUAUUUUGCUAUGUUUGAAAUUUUUAAUGUAAGAUAGAUAUUUACUUUUUUACAUAAAAAAAAUCAUUAGUUGGAAACCAAUUAAUAAGUGGACAAUUAAAGGUCUAACAUGUUCAUAGAUGAUUGUAAAAUUAAUUUAAUUAUACAAAGCAUAGUAACGUUUGCAAUACAAAAAUUCUGGUUUCGACAGAUUUCCAAAAAAUAUAAUGUAUAGUUCUUUUCUGUAUAUGCCAUAUAUAUUAUAUAAUAAAAAUAACAUAUACUA